UAAUACUACGGAGCCACAACUGUAGCAGGAGCACACCUGCACACCAUAAGUGUCAUCCGAAUAUUUUUUUUUUUACAAAAAAUUGAAAACGUGCAUUUUUGAAAUGGGGUCCUCGGUUUGGUUUUCCAUUUCAAAAUCAUCCCGCGAAAGGUGCCGUUCGUCGCCCGCGUGACAGGUUCCUCCGCCCAGCACCACCGGCGACGCCGUCUCUCCGCCCAGAAACAUCGAGCACAGUACUUCGUCGGCACACAGCUGCCGGUCCUUGGGAGAAGAAAAAACAGAGCACACGGUCAGUUUUACACUAUCUGCGAAGACCCCCUCCCUCGCCGGCGCCACCUCUGCUGAUACUUUGGUAAAAAAAUUUCAGACCGUUUUAUACUCCCAUAUGGUUACGUUUAUCUUGUGUAUACAGAGAUGAGUUUUGGGUUUUGUAAGAUAAACUUUGUGGAUUAGGGCAUGGUUAAACAACAAUGUUGCAUGGCUUUCGAGUCUUUGACGUCUGGUUUCGUCCUCUGUUUUCAAGCGGCUCGGUCAUACAUUGCUUUUUAUUUUUUAUUUUUAUUAUCUGUAUUGAAAAAAAAAUAUUGUCCCAUUAGGGUCGAAUAGCAUUUACCAAGAACCAUUUAGAUGAAAUAUUUGAUUCUGCAGACAGGCCACUUGAAGGCAGCUAUAUUUGUUGAAGGUCGAAGAUCCAUUUCAGUUCUUGGCUGUGUGCAUGAAUAUAACUGAUGCCUUGAGAAGUUCAUCCCCAAAGACCUUUGAUUCACAUAUACCUGUACACCAGAUUUUACCACAGAUAAACGCAUUGACAAUUUGAUGGGAAGAGUUCAUUGUUGGGUUGACGAUUCACUCGGAAUGCAUUAUAUGCUGCCUUGGAGCCGGGCAGAUUUAAUGUUCUGCCACUAUGUUCAUCUGAUUUUUGAAGAGGAGCUUAUGAACUGAAGAAUUGUUGAUUUUAGAAUGAUGGCUUUUGUAAAUAUUUGUAUAUAUUUCAUACUAUAAUACAGAGCUGAAUGUAGAGUUCUAUUGUACAGCUCAAUAUCCAUUCCAAUAUCCAUUCUAUUGUAGAGUUCUAAUGUUAAGAGUACAGGUUUUCUUAUCUUACAGAAUGGAAGCUUCAAACCCAUUUGAAGGGAGCUCAAGUUCUUAGGCCAGUCUUUUGCUCUAGUGUUGAUUUGACUUGGAGACCCUUCCAGUUGGCAGCAAUCUCGAGUGUUAAGGCAGCACUGUAGGAAUUGUAAUGUAAUUGUUAAGGCAGCACUCCAAAAUUUGGUUGUGGAGUAGUUUGUAGAAAGUGUAAUUUGUAAUUUGAAGCUGGAAGAAUAUAGAAAUUUGUAGUUUUUAUCAAAUUGUGGUUGUAAAUUUACACUUUGUAGUUUGAAGAAUGUUGUAUCUAAGAGUUAAGAUCUCCAAAUCCACCUUGGAACAUUUCAUCUUGAAAGUAUGAAUACAACUAGCUGAAUUGUACAAUUUUAGCA